rnacentral:rRNA from 1 species
CCUACGGGAGGCUGCAGUGGGGAAUAUUGGACAAUGGGGGGAACCCUGAUCCAGCGACGCCGCGUGAGUGAAGAAGUAUUUCGGUAUGUAAAGCUCUAUCAGCAGGGAAGAAAGAAAUGACGGUACCUGACUAAGAAGCCCCGGCUAACUACGUGCCAGCAGCCGCGGUAAUACGUAGGGGGCAAGCGUUAUCCGGAUUUACUGGGUGUAAAGGGAGCGUAGACGGCGAUGCAAGUCUGAAGUGAAAGGCGGGGGCGCAACCCCUGGACUGCUUUGGAAACUGUAUGGCUGGAGUGCAGGAGAGGUAAGUGGAAUUCCUAGUGUAGCGGUGAAAUGCGUAGAUAUUAGGAGGAAUACCAGUGGCGAAGGCGGCUUACUGGACCGUAACUGACGUUGAGGCGCGAAAGCGUGGGGAGCAAACAGGAUUAGAUACCCUGGUAGUC